rnacentral:rRNA from 1 species
AUUGAACGCUGGCGGCAUGCCUUACACAUGCAAGUCGAACGGCAGCACGGGAGCAAUCCCGGUGGCGAGUGGCGAACGGGUGAGUAAAGUAUCGGAACGUGCCCAGUCGUGGGGGAUAACGUAGCGAAAGUUACGCUAAUACCGCAUACGAUCUAUGGAUGAAAGCGGGGGAUCGCAAGACCUCGCGCGAUUGGAGCGGCCGAUAUCAGAUUAGGUAGUUGGUGGGGUAAAGGCUCACCAAGCCGACGAUCUGUAGCUGGUCUGAGAGGACGACCAGCCACACUGGGGCUGAGACACGGCCCAGACUCCUACGGGAGGCAGCAGUGGGGAAUUUUGGACAAUGGGCGCAAGCCUGAUCCAGCCAUGCCGCGUGCAGGAUGAAGGCCUUCGGGUUGUAAACUGCUUUUGUACGGAACGAAAAGGUUUGACUUAAUACGUUGGACUCAUGACGGUACCGUAAGAAUAAGCACCGGCUAACUACGUGCCAGCAGCCGCGGUAAGAC